rnacentral:tRNA from 1 species
CUUUAUUUAAUAUAAAAAUUAUAUUUAUUUUCCAAAUAAAAAAUCUAAAUAAAUUAGAAUAAAGA